GUCACUUUGGCGGAGUGGUUAACGCGCUGCCCUGCUAUAUCCUGAAAAGGGUAAGCAAGUUAGGCAGUUCCUUCGGGAGCGUAGGUUCGAAUCCUACAGGUGACG